rnacentral:lncRNA from 1 species
CACCCCUCAGCUGUGGCCACCCUGGUGCCACUCCUUCCCUGGCCACCAUGUCACGGCAGCUCAACAUAGACACGUUACGGCAGAACUUCUGGAAGGAGGAAUAUCUGAGGGAAAAGAUGUUGCGCUGUGAAUGGGGCGCUACCGCUACCUCAACACUCGAAAACUGGACAUGCCAGAGACGCGAUACCUCUUCCCCGUCACCACCAGCUUCACGUAUGGCUGGCAGCUGGGCCCCCCAGUGAAGCAAGAACUGGUCUCCUGCAAGAUGUGCCGCAUUGAGUCAUUCUUCCGCAAGAACGGGGCCUUCGCACUGCUUGAUCCCCGAGACCUGGCCCUCUGACCGUGGGCCAGGUGUGGGCUUAGGGGAGGGAAGAAGAAAUAACAGGCCUCCUGGUGGGGCAAAGCUGCUGUGUGUGUCUGUGCCCCUCUGCUCUCCCUGUCCCUGAGGUUGCAUUCAGGCCUUUCUGAAACUAUCUGACCUGCAAGUUGCCCUCUUGCUUUUUCCGUAACCCUCAUCUCUUUAAUCAUCCCUUUGAGGACCCAGCAAUGACCAGAGGGGGCUGGGAAAGGCGAGCACUACUUCGCAGGCACGGGAUCCUCAGCACCAGGGGAACACAGUAGUUCCAGGAAGU